rnacentral:rRNA from 1 species
AGUAUGAUAAGAGCAUACGGUGAAUGCCUUGGCAUUAGGAGGCGAUGAAGGACGUGAUACGCUGCGAUAAGCGUCGGCGAGCUGCGAAUAAGCUUUGACCCGACGAUUUCCGAAUGGGGCAACCCACCACCUUGAGUGGUAUCUCCACAUGAAUACAUAGUGUGGCGAAGCGAACCUGGAGAACUGAAACAUCUAAGUACCCAGAGGAAAAGAAAUCAACCGAGAUUCCGUAAGUAGUGGCGAGCGAAAGCGGAUUAGACCAGUGGCUUAUAAGUAAAAACGUGAACAUGUUGGGAAGCAUGGCGAUACAGGGUGAUAGCCCCGUAACGGUAAAAAGCUUAUAAGUCCUUGAGUAGGGCGGGACACGUGAAACCCUGUCUGAAUAUGGGAGGACCAUCUUCCAAGUCUAAAUACUACCUAAUGACCGAUAGUGAACAAGUACCGUGAGGGAAAGGUGAAAAGUACCCCGAUAAGGGGGGUGAAAUAGUACCUGAAACCGUAUGCUUACAAGCAGUGGGAGCACCCUUGAGGUGUGACCGCGUACCUUUUGUAUAAUGGGUCAGCGAGUUAUAUUAUGCAGCAAGCUUAAGCCGACAGGUGUAGGCGCAGCGAAAGCGAGUCUUAAUAGGGCGCGUAGUUGCAUGGUAUAGACCCGAAACGAAGUGAUCUAGUUAUGGGCAGGUUGAAGGUAAGGUAACACUUACUGGAGGACCGAACCCACGCCUGUUGAAAAAGGCGGGGAUGACCUGUGACUAGGGGUGAAAGGCCAAUCAAACUUCGAAAUAGCUGGUUCUCUCCGAAAAGUAUUUAGGUACUGCGUCGUGUGGUUACCGCCGGGGGUAGAGCACUGGAUGGGCUAGGGGGGCCUACCGCCUUACCAAACCUAACCAAACUCCGAAUACCGGUAAGUACAGCACGGCAGACACACUAUGGGUGCUAAGGUCCAUAGUGGAAAGGGAAACAGCCCAGACCGCCAGCUAAGGUCCCAAAGUUUAUGUUAAGUGUAAAAGCAGGUGAAAUUACUCAGACAACCAGGAGGUUGGCUUAGAAGCAGCCAUCCUUUAAAGAAAGCGUAACAGCUCACUGGUCAAGUGAUUUUGCGGCGAAGAUUCAACGGGGCUUAAACAUAACACCGAAGCUGCGGACUUGAGAUUUAUCUCAAGUGGUAGGAGAGCGUUCCGUAAGCGGAUGAAGGUCAACCGACGAGGUUGGCUGGACGUAUCGGAAGUGAGAAUGCUGACACGAGUAGCGAUUAGACGAGUGAGAACCUCGUCCGCCGAAAUCCCAAGGGUUCCUACGCAAUGCCAAUCAGCGUAGGGUUAGCCGGCACCUAAGGCGAGGCCGAAAGGCGUAGUCGAUGGAAAUCAGGUUAAUAUUCCUGAGCCAGUUGGAGGUUGACGGAUUCAGUAAAUUGUACGUCCUUAUUGGAUUGGAUGUGCAGUGAAUGAGUUCCAGGAAAUAGCACCAACAUGAAGGCCGUACCCCAAACCGACACAGGUGGGAUGGUUGAGUAUACCAAGGCGUUGAGAGAACUAUGGUUAAGGAACUCGGCAAAAUGCUCCCGUAACUUUGGGAUAAGGGAGACCUAUGCUAAGGCAACUUAAUAUAGGUGGCACAGAAUAGGGGGUAACGACUGUUUAUUAAAAACAUAGCACUAUGCAAAAUCGUAAGAUGAAGUAUAUGGUGUGACGCCUGCCCGGUGCCGGAAGGUUAAUUGAUGGGGUGCAAGCCCUUGAUCGAAGCCCCGGUAAACGGCGGCCGUAACUAUAACGGUCCUAAGGUAGCGAAAUUCCUUGUCGGGUAAGUUCCGACCCGCACGAAUGGCGUAACGAUUUCCCCACUGUCUCAACCAUAGACUCAGCGAAACUGACUUCUCUGUUAAGAUGCAGAGUACCCGCGGCCAGACGGAAAGACCCCGUGCACCUUUACUACAGCUUCGCAGUGGAUUUAGAUCUAACAUGUGCAGGAUAGGUGGGAGGCUUUGAACAUAUGACGCCAGUUGUAUGUGAGCCAUCCUUGAGAUACCACCCUUGUUAUAUUUGAAUUCUAACCGCACUCUGUUAUCCAGAGUCGGGACCCUGCGUGGUGGGUAGUUUGACUGGGGUGGUCGCCUCCCAAAGAGUAACGGAGGCGCGCGAUGGUAGGCUCAAUACGGUUGGAAACCGUAUGACGAGUGUAAUGGCAAAAGCCUGCCUGACUGUAAGAGAGACAUCUCGAGCAGAGACGAAAGUCGGUCAUAGUGAUCCGGUGGUUCCACAUGGAAGGGCCAUCGCAAACGGAUAAAAGGUACGCCGGGGAUAACAGGCUGAUAACGCCCAAGCGUCCACAGCGACGGCGUUGUUUGGCACCUCGAUGUCGGCUCAUCACAUCCUGGGGCUGUAGCAGGUCCCAAGGGUUCGGCUGUUCGCCGAUUAAAGUGGUACGUGAGCUGGGUUUAGAACGUCGUGAGACAGUUCGGUCCCUAUCUACCGUGGGUGUAGGAAUAUUGAGAAGAGUUGCUCCUAGUACGAGAGGACCGGAGUGAACGUACCCCUGGUGUACCUGUUGUCGCGCCCGCGGCAUCGCAGGGUAGCUAUGUACGGACAGGAUAACCGCUGAAGGCAUCUAAGCGGGAAGCCCCCUUCAAAACUAGUAUUCCCUUGAGAGACGUUGCAGACCACGACGUUGAUAGGCUGGGUGUGGAAGCAUGGUAACAUGUGAAGCUAACCAGUACUAAUUUCUCAAUUGGCUUAA